UCGUUGUGGCCUUGAGGUGCACGCCGCAUAUGUCGAGGAGCCCAUGUGUGCGUGCUAGUGUGCCUUCCAAGUGUCUUAGGCACGCCCAAAGCCGUGCCAUGGCGCCCUUUUGGUGCGGCCAAGGCUUGGCCUUGGUGCCCCCUUGAGUCACCCACCUCCUCCUUAAAGAGCAAUACAAACCAUUCUCAAGAUGUCCGGAGGAGACAUUAGACCCCCUUGAGGGUCUUAAUAGAAUAUUAAAAUAAAUAAUAUUUAUAUUCCAUAAAAACCUCACCCUUCAUCUGCAUUGUCACUAACGUGCCUUGUGUGCAGAAUGUGCGCCAAAUGUGCGUGCGGGUGUGGCCUGGUGUGUGUAUGGGUGCGACUUUGUGCGCGUGUGGGUACGAGACAGCUGUGCGUGGGGCGCAGGACUAGUGCGGGCCUGCCCUGUGCCUGGUGCUCGUCUGGUGCACACCAAAACCUUCAGGCUUUCCUUGCUUCUCCACUUGGGAUCCUCACGGGUGCAAGGCCUAACCAUGAGGCCUUUUUCUUCGUCAUUGGGUCAAGAGGCUAAAGGGCUAACAAACCCACCCCCGCUUACUGAAGUUGACGCCCUCGUCGACUGCAAGUAUGCCUGAAUCGCCUUCUCAAACUGCCACAAGGUAACAUAUCUCUUCCAAGUAGUUUAUGAUUUUGAAGUCCUCUUCCACUGAACAAGAAAAUCAGUUCGUCGAUUCUUUCUGCUACAUCCCAUGGUCCUAUGAUCCAAGAUCUUCUCCACCUCUUGAUCAAAUUGUUUCAUGACCAAGGGAGGGGCUCGCUUUGUCUGUACCCUCUUUGUGUCUGGGUCUUCAUAGUAUGGUUUCAGGAAACUAACAUGGGAGGUCGGGUAAAACUUGAUCAUUUCUGGUAGUUUCAACAUAUAAGCCACCCGCUCCACCCUUUUUAUCACCUCGAACAGUCUGUCAUAUUUAGGAAUCAGACCCCUAUGCGUUGUUUUGUUGCUAAUCUUCUUCCAUAUCUAAGGAGUCAAUUUCAGGAGGACUUUGUCUCCAACCUGAAAUUCCAAGGGCCACCUAUCAUGGUUUGCAUACUUCUUCAUCCGUUUGACUACUUUUUCCAAACUGUCUUGGGCCUCAUCGAACAUCUCCUUUCGAGACCGAGCCAACUUGUAUGCUGUAGGGUUAUUUCCUCCAGUCUUUUGCUUAGCUACCUCCAAAAGCAUCCUUGGCUGUACCCCAAUAGCCAAUUCAAAGGGACUCAUCCCUGUUGCUGAACUUCUCUAUAAAUUGUAACAUAAUUGGGCAAUGUCAAGUAAAUCCACCCAGUUCUUUUGUGUUGCUGUCACAUAGUGCUGGAGAUACUCCUUCAAUAAGACAUUAAUCCUCUUUGUCUACCCAUUAGUCUGAGGAUGAUUGGCUGUAGAAAACUUCAACUUUGAACCCAAGAGUUUGAACAACUCAAUCCAGAACAGGCCUGUGAACUGUGUAUCCCGAUCACUCACUAUGCCUCGAGGCAACCCAAAGUGCUUCACAACAUGGCUGAAGAACAACCUAGCCUCUUCUUUUGUGGGACAUGCAUCAAGAGCAAGUAUAAACAUAGAGUAUUUAGAAAAUCUAUCCACAACAACAAAGAUAGAUUUGAAGUCACAAACCUUUGAGAAUCCGAUGAUGAAGUCCAUGGAGAUGCUUUCCCAAGGCUUCUCUGGAAUGAUGGUGGGGGGUGCUGCAGCAACCUUACAACCUUUUUCCUCUCGGUCUUGUCCAUUUGACAGACUAGGCAGGAUCUCACAUAAGCCCGUACAUCCUCACUCGUCUUUGGCCAGUAGUAGGAUUUGGCAAGCAAUGGCAAAGUCCUUUCUUCACUGGGAUGGCCUGCCCAUCUAGCAUCAUGAGUUUCCCGCAACAGUUCCUUCCUCAAGCCACCUGCAGGGACUUACCACCUUCCUCCUUUAGCCAUAAGGAGGUCUCCUUCAAGCCAAUACCUCCUAAUUGCUCCCUCUUUGACUUGUUGUCUUAGCUUGCUAUAGGCAGCAUCAAGCUCUGCAGCCUGCUUGAUCCUUUCAUUGAAGUCAAAGAUGACUUUUUAGAGGGCAAUGAUAUAAUCAAUCACUUCCUUUCUGCACAAGGCAUCAACCACUGUGUAGUGUCUUCUUGGUUGAUGCAACCAUUCAAACAUGAAGUCAGCCAGGAACUCCUGCCAUUGAGCCUAUUUGAGACUUAGCUUCUUCUGUGUUUUGAAGAAGGUGUUGGUCACAUUGUCAAUGACUACUGUGAAGAUGCUCCCAAGCAGGUAAUACCUCCACUGCUGCAGACAAUGAACCACUACAGUCAUCUCCUUCUCGUGAGUGGAGUAUUUUUGUUCAACACUAUUCAAUUUCAUGCUUUCGAACGCCACAAGGUGUGCUUCCUGCACCAAGACCCCACCCAAGGCCCUAUUUGAGGCAUUUGUUUGGACUUCAAAUGACAAGUCAAGAUCUGGCAACCGUAACACAGGCUUAGUGGAGAUGGCUUUCUUCAGGCCUUUAAAGGCCAUCUGACACCGCAUGCUCUAGUCUCACUUCUUGUUAUUUUUUAGUAGGUCAAUGAGGGGAGACACCAUUUUUGAGUAUCCUUUGAUGAACCUUCUGUAAUAGUUGGUUGGAUUGAGGAAGGAUUGUAACUCUGUCAACUUGCUAGGGACUGGCCACUCCUUAAUAGCUUGCACCUUGCCUUCAUCCAUUUUGAUCAGACCUGCACUGAUCUUGUGUCCUAGAAAUGAGAUUUGCUCCUGAGCAAAUUCUCAUUUAUCUAGCUUUACAUAAAGCCUAUGCUCCCUCAGUCGUUGGAACUCCAUCCCCAUAUGCUUUUCAUUUUCUGUUAUAGUCUGACUGUACACUACAAUAUCGUUUAGAUAGACUACCACAAAUGCAUCCAAGUAAUCAAACAAGACAUCAUUCAUCAAAUUAUAAAAAGUAGCAAAAGCAUUUGUUAGCCUAAAGGGCAUUACCAGAAACUUGAAUGAGCUAUACCGAGUUACGCAAAUGGUUUUCUCCUCAUUUCGUGCUGCAAUCCACACUUGCAAAUAGCUCGAUCUCAGAUCCAACUUAGUGCAGUAUGAAGUUUUUGACAAUUUGCCAAACAACUCGGGUACCAACAGGAUCGAGUAUUUGUUCUUUAUGGUGACUUUGUUGAGGGCCUUGUAGUCCAAACACAUGUGCAAAGAGCCAUCAUGCUUUUUCUGGAACAACACUGGUGCACCAUAUGGAGCCCUCGAGGGUUGAAUCAGGCCUACAUUCAACAACUCUUUCAACUAUUUCCAUAGUUCCAGUAACUCUAUAGGGGACAUCCUGUAAGGGGCUUGAGCUGGGGGUUUUGUUCCAGGCAACAGUUCUAUCUUGUGGUCAAUGGGUCGCCGGGGUGGCAACCCCUUGGAAAGUUCUGUAGGCAUCACAUCUUUGAACUCCUUAAGAAUCUUGACCAUUGAAUCAAGGAAUUCCAUAGACUGCCCCUCCUUGAUCUUGAUCAAAGCUGCAACAUAGGUCUCUUGACCUCUCUUCAAACCCUUCUUUAAUUGGAUAGCAGAUAACAUCUCAAGCUGACCUUUAUCGCCAUUGUUUGCCCUUAAGGCCUGCACAAAGCAGGGCUGACUUCAUUUAAUACCAUCAAGCCACUAAGAUGCGGGAUCAAGGCCACCUUAGCCUUCAAGAAGAAGUCUAUGCCCAAGAUUAGAUUGAAAUUGUCCAAGGGCACACAGAGUAAGCUGCAAGUGCCCUUCUAGUCAACAACUUGCACAGUUCUUGGCUACACCAUGGAUCUUUUAGGCUUUGCUAUUGACUAUUUUGAUUUGACUGGUGUCAUCUUCCAGUUUCAAUCCCUAUUUGGUUGCCUUUUUGGUGGCCACAAAAUUGUGAGUGACCACUAUUUACUAUAGCCUUGACUUGCACACCAUUCACAACUGCAUGCACAUGCAUUUGUGACUUUUGGACAGGAGUCUCACCAUGAAUAACAUUUAAGAGUUGCAGUAGGUUGACUCUAGGAGGGGUCUCUGAGUCAGAAUCUCCCUUGUCGUCUGUAAUCACAAGGGUUGAGAGUUUCUCUCUUUUUGGGGCAGUCCCUGGCUUUGUGUGGGUCAUUGCAAAUGAAGCAUCCUGCCAUCCGGGUGGUUUGCUGCACAAAUUUGGUGGUCUUCUCCGCUGGUUUGGCCACUGCAUCACCCUUCCUAUUUUGUUUCUUCCACCUUGACUUCCUAGAAGUCUUGCCCUCAAUCUUAGCCUUUUUGCCUCCUUAUGACUUAGAUUUUUGCAUAGUGGAGAUGGUGCCACCCAUCUUAUAAUCCACUAAGCAAUCUAUUGCAGCCAUGGUAGCAGGGAGAUCAUGAACCCCUCCGAAGUUCAGUCUGAGCCCAUUCGUGCGGUCCGGACAUGAAAUUGAAGAGCUUGUCUUCUUCUGUCAUGGUUUUAAUGUCCAACAUCAAGGAACUGAAUUCCUUGACAUAUUUCAUCACGGAUCCGGUGUGUCUUAGUCUCUUCAAUGACUUUCUGGCCACCCAAGCAAUGUUGGUAGGGAGGAAUUGGUCCUUCAACUCCUUCUUCAGAGUUUCCUAAGUGGUGAUUUGGGGCCUUCCAGACUUUGCAUCAUCCUUCAUCCUCGUUCGCCACCAGAGUUUUGCAUCACCAGUCAGAUACAUACUAGUAAUGAAAAUUUUCUCACCAUCAGAGACGUGAGCAACCUUAAAGAAUUGCUCCAUGUCUUAUAAGAAAUUCUUCAACUCCUUUACAUUCAUGUUACCAUUGAAACCCUUAAGCUCUAGGACCCAGAUUUUGGGAGGGGCUUCAGAGCUUGAGGAGGAUCCCUGCAACACUGCCUUCUUGAGGACUGUAAUGUCUUCUCCAUAAGACCGUGGGGUGCCUUUGAAGUCAUCCAUCAGGGACUGGAUAUCUGUCUUCAAACCAACAACCUUCUCCUCAAAGAAUUGAUCAUGUGUCUCCAACAAACUUCUCCGCACUUGGAUUUCCCCCACAGUGUGCUCUACCCACGAGGCCACAAUGCCAUUCUCACUUGGCCAUUCUCCUAGCACUUCUUCCAUCCGAGCAAUCCUUUUCCGCAAGACUUCCGUUGCACUACCAUUAGCCAUCUUUGGUACUUGCUUUGAUACCAUUUGUCGCACCCCUUGGAAUCACCCAAAAAUUUUCACUGAGUGUGUGGUGUUAAGACACCUUUCUUAGCCAAUCUUUCCCUUAAGCCUUUAUAAAAGUAGCGUAACUAGGCCAAAGCAAUUAUGAGAAUGCUUUCCAACUUGUGUUAUUCUAAAGAUACAAAAUCGUUCCAAAGUUUCUCAACACAUUGCAAGAGUCGGAGACUACAAUGCCUACACCCUAAGCAUUCAAUAGAUGCAUACAACACUUUGUCUCAAGUAUGCAGGGAGGUUUUUAUAAGAGACACCCAGCCUACCUGCUGGAGGUUAUCUGGAGACAUGCUUCCCUCCGAACUAAGGUGUCCUUUCGCACCAGCCAUUAGUUUCUCAGCUAUCUACCAGUUCCUUGUUGCUGAGUUUAGCUACUGCCAUCUCAUGUGCUGCACUGAUCAAUCCUGCUGCCACUAGCCAACUGCUAUUCCUUCAAGCCCUUUCUCAUUGAGCCGUUGGUGAGUCCUCCUAACAAGAUGCCUCCCUCCAUCGUAAGGUGCCUCCUAUGAACGGGUGCUCAUCAAGGUGUCUCUGACUAGGCUCUCUGAAUCAGCAACGUGCUCUCAUAAGCUGAUCAAGUGUGUUUGGUGCAUCAACGUGCCUUCCCCACACUGAUGCUCAAGCCCAUGCCAUGUCAAGGUGCCCAUGGCUUAAGGCAUGUGAUAGCUCCCUUUGUCAGUCAAGGCUCACUGUUGCCUUGUCCAUGCCAUGCACUAACAAUCUUACUUGUUGCCUCAGUUUCCCACCAAGUCACUGAUCCACGUCAUUGGGCCAUGGCAUUGCGCCCAUGACUAUUCUAUCCCCUUGCAUAGGGCAGUGUGCCCUUGUGCCAUGCAUAGGCAUCAUGAGUCUGAGUUGGCUGCAUGUCUAGUGCCCCACCAAGCUAUGGCAUUGCACCCAUGGCUUCUCGAACCGGCUUAGUGCAGGAGUCUUUUAGGCGUCCUCGUGCCAGCUCGGGGAAGAGGUAGUUCACACCAAGCCCCGUGUUGUUGUGGCCAUGGGGUGCACACCACAUAUGUCGUGGAGCCCAUGUGUGUGUGCUAGUGUGCCUUCCAAGUGUCUUAGGCACGCCUAAUGCCGUGCCAUGGUGCCCCUUGGUGUGGCCAAGUCUUGGCCUUGGUGCUCCCUUGAGUCACCUACACUUCCCACCUUAAAGAGCAAUACGGGCCAUUCUCAAGAUGUCUGGAGGAGACAUCAGACCCCCUUGAGGAGACGUAAUGGAAUAUUAAAAUAAAUAAUAGUUAUAUUCCAUAAAAACCUCACCCUUUGUUUGCACUAUCACCAACGUGCCUCAUGUGCAGGAUGUGCGUCAAGUGUGCGUGUGAGUGCGGACUGGUUCACGCGCGGAUGUGGGACUAGUGUGCGCACGGCUUGCGCCUGGUGCUCGUUUGGUGCACAUGUGGCCUGCGUCUGGUACGCCCGCGACUUGCAUCAGUCUUCUCAUUUGGCUUCUUGGGGCGUGAACCACCAAAGCUUCAGGUUUUCCCUGCUUCUCCACCUGGGAUCCUCAUGGUUGCAAGGCCUACCCAUGAGGCCCUUUUCUCCGUCAUCGGGUCAAGAGGCUAAGGAGCUGACAACAACCAAGAAGGCCAUUCCCUUUGUGAAGUCCUUUUUAUCUUUUGCUAUGAUUUGGGGACUUGAUUUUACUUUCUUCUAAAGAAAUUUGGGCUUAAGCUGCUCAUUCUAAAGUGUGACUUGGGGGUGGUUCUAGUGAAUAGAUAUAGUAUGUGCAAACAAAUAAUAACAUCCUCAUUUAUGUAAGAAGUUUAUGAUUUUUAUUGUCCUCCCUUUUUGGGUAUGAUGGUGGACUCUCUUUAAAUGGUUUAAGGAACAAUUGCUUGGAUGGCAUGGUAGUUUUGUGGGAAAGAAUGAAGGAGUUUUGGAGGAUGACUCUUCUAUGCUUAUUUUGGUGUGUAUGGAAAGAGAAGAGUAGGACCUUUAAAGGUGUUGAGCUAUUGGAAGGAGCAUUGACAUAUCAAUUCCUUUCUUUGAGGUGAGUGGAGAUGGUAACGGUGGUCUAUGAUGCUUAGAUCCUUGAAUUUCACCUAACGUACAUGUGUCGACAUGACAUGACCUGGUUGUGGGUAUUCAAAUACUCCUAUUUUGCUUUGGGUGUGGCUGUUUGAUUUUUUCAUUGAUAUUCUCUUAUUCUUUGAAUUUUCUUAGUAAUAAUUACAUUUGAUAAAAAGAAGAGUUAAUUGAAAAGUGAAUUUUUGUAAGAAUAUUUAGGAAUGUGAGGAAAAAAGGGGAUUAGAGGAUAAAGAUGAGAGCUUUUAAAAAGGAUAUCUUCCCUUCCGAUUUUUCUUCUUUAUCUAUCAAAAAAAUCUUCACUUCCAAUUUAUUUUUAAUUAACUUUUCUUUUAUUAUGCUGUAUCCCAAUACUUGUGUCCUUUUUUUGGAUCCCUUUUAGCUAAGUCCCUGUAUCCUAAAAUUUGAGUUGUGAAGGAUCAAACACCUAGACACAUACGCAUAUCCAAUGGGUCUCAUUCUUCUUUUCUGGAUUUGAUUGUUUGGGUAAUGGGGUAGGUGGCAUUUUGGCCUAUUGUACCUUUUCUCUCUCUAAAGUUGUCGGGUGAUGUGCUUUGUAGAGUCCCCAUGUACAAGGGUGCAGCCCCUUUUCUGUUAGGUGCUUUUCAUUAGUAUUCUAUUUGCUUAUAAAAAAAAAGGAACGAAAAAAGAAAAAAGAAAAAAGGAUAGAAGGCGAAAGCACCUUGUAGGAAGAGAAUCAAAGCACAGAAGGUAC
rnacentral:lncRNA from 1 species